GGGGCAGCAGUCUUAGCUUUAAGCGAUGGCGACCGGCGCACGGGUGAGUAACACGUAUCCACCUGCCGUCUACUCUUGGACAGCCUUCUGAAAGGAAGAUUAAUACAAGAUGGCUCCGCAUGUUUAAAGGUAUUCCGGUAGACGAUGGGGAUGCGUUCCAUUAGAUAGUAGGCGGGGUAACGGCCCACCUAGUCUUCGAUGGAUAGGGGUUCUGAGAGGAAGGUCCCCCACAUUGGAACUGAGACACGGUCCAAACUCCUACGGGAGGCAGCAGUGAGGAAUAUUGGUCAAUGGGCGAGAGCCUGAACCAGCCAAGUAGCGUGAAGGAUGACUGCCUAUGGGUUGUAAACU
rnacentral:rRNA from 1 species